GAUUCUUCGGAUGAAGCUUUAUGUGACUGAGCGGCGGACGGGUGAGUAACGCGUGGGCAACCUGCCUUACACAGGGGGAUAACAGUUAGAAAUGACUGCUAAUACCGCAUAAGACCGCGGUGCCGCAUGGCACAGCGGUAAAAACUCCGGUGGUAUGGGAUGGGCCCGCGUCUGAUUAGCUAGUUGGCGGGGUAACGGCCCACCAAGGCGACGAUCAGUAGCCGACCUGAGAGGGCGACCGGCCACAUUGGGACUGAGACACGGCCCAAACUCCUACGGGAGGCAGCAGUGGGGAAUAUUGCACAAUGGGGGAAACCCUGAUGCAGCGACGCCGCGUGAGCGAUGAAGUAUUUCGGUAUGUAAAGCUCUAUCAGCAGGGAAGAAGAUGACGGUACCUGACUAAGAAGCCCCGGCUAACUACGUGCCAGCAGCCGCGGUAAUACGUAGGGGGCAAGCGUUAUCCGGAUUUACUGGGUGUAAAGGGAGCGUAGACGGCGAUGCAAGCCAGAUGUGAAAGCCCGGGGCUCAACCCCGGGACUGCAUUUGGAACUGUGUGGCUGGAGUGUCGGAGAGGCAGGCGGAAUUCCUAGUGUAGCGGUGAAAUGCGCAGAUAUUAGGAGGAACACCAGUGGCGAAGGCGGCCUGCUGGACGAUGACUGACGUUGAGGCUCGAAAGCGUGGGGAGCAAACA
rnacentral:rRNA from 1 species